AUAAAUGAUGAACAACGGGUCUACUGAGAUCUGCUCGACGGAGUGGGUCGGUGAAGAGCCGUUGGAGCACUGAUG
rnacentral:snoRNA from 1 species